AUUGAACGCUGGCGGCAGGCCUAACACAUGCAAGUCGAACGAGUGGGGGACGGGUGAGAAAUGACUGGGAAACUGACUGAUGGAGGGGGACAACUAAUGGAAACGGUAGCUAAUACCGCAUACCAUCGGAGGUACCCAGAUGGGAAUAGCGAGUAGGUGGGGUAAAGGAUCACCUAGGCGACGAUCCCUAGCUGGUCUGAGAGGAUGACCAGCCACACUGGGACUGAGACACGGUCCAGACUCCUACGGGAGGCAGCAGUGGGGAAUAUUGCACAAUUGGCGCAAGCCUGAUGCAGCCAUCCCGCGUGUAUGAAGAAGGCCUUCGGGUUGUAAAGCACUUUAAGUUGGUAGGCGUUACCAACAGAAUAAGCACCGGCUAACUUCGUGCCAGCCGCCGCGGUAAUUC
rnacentral:rRNA from 1 species